UACGUAGGCAGCAAGCGUUUGUUCGGAGUUACUGGGCGUAAAGGGUGUGUAGGCGGUUGUUUAAGUUUGGUGUGAAAUCUCCCGGCUCAACCGGGAGGGUGCGCCGAAUACUGAAUGACUAGAGUGCGGGAGAGGAAAGUGGAAUUCCUGGUGUAGCGGUGAAAUGCGUAGAUAUCAGGAGGAACACCGGUGGUGUAGACGGCUUUCUGGACCGUAACUGACGCUGAGACACGAAAGCGUGGGUAGCAAACAGG
rnacentral:rRNA from 1 species